rnacentral:rRNA from 1 species
AUUGGACGCUGGCGGCAGGCCUAACACAUGCAAGUCGAGCGGAUGAAGGGAGCUUGCUCCUGGAUUCAGCGGCGGACGGGUGAGUAAUGCCUAGGAAUCUGCCUGGUAGUGGGGGAUAACGUCCGGAAACGGGCGCUAAUACCGCAUACGUCCUGAGGGAGAAAGUGGGGGAUCUUCGGAUCUCACGCUAUCAGAUGAGCCUAGGUCGGAUUAGCUAGUUGGUGGGGUAAAGGCCUACCAAGGCGACGAUCCGUAACUGGUCUGAGAGGAUGAUCAGUCACACUGGAACUGAGACACGGUCCAGACUCCUACGGGAGGCAGCAGUGGGGAAUAUUGGACAAUGGGCGAAAGCCUGAUCCAGCCAUGCCGCGUGUGUGAAGAAGGUCUUCGGAUUGUAAAGCACUUUAAGUUGGGAGGAAGGGCAGUAAGUUAAUACCUUGCUGUUUUGACGUUACCAACAGAAUAAGCACCGGCUAACUUCGUG